rnacentral:lncRNA from 1 species
AGUGGUCCCUUAGCCAAGUUCCUCAGCUUCCGUUCUUCUCCAGGCCUGGGAGUCGGCCUCCUGCCCUGGCUCCCUGCUGGCCAAACCCUCCCAGCCACACAGCUCAGGGGCAAGGACAGGUCUCUGAGGCCUCCGACCCCUCCCUGCAGCAGCCUCUCUGUGAGGUCCUACCCUUCUAGCUCAGAAGGAACAACCGGGGGCUGGAAACGUUUUCUAGGAAGCAAUUACUAACGAGCACAGGGACCCGCAACGCCCCAGAGAUGUUCUCCAGCACGCAGUUUAAACCAAUGCCUCGCAGCCAGCGGGCAGCCUGCCCCGGUCCAGCGGAGGUCUGUGCAGCGCCGCCCGAGGGGCUGUGCUCGCCCUCCAGGCUGGAGCCUCCCAGCCGCUUCCCGGGGGCUCUGCUCGCUCUGCUCAUGCUUAUAAAACCCAGCCACGUGCCUCGUCCUUCAGAGGGAACAGCUGUUGGCGAGCGCCUCCCAUCACCAGGUGGUACCACAAGGGUCAGCCGGAGUCUGAAUGUCCGGAGGUUUCGAUGAAACCGGCUCUUCCCCCGCCCCAGCCCUCCCCCUAGUUCCCACAUCUCUGGUGUGUUCUCGGACUCGGGCCACUGGCUCUCCAUCUCGGUUUCCAUAGACUGUCUUCCUCGCCUCCCCUCCCAAGUCCACCUGUUCGAUCCCUGUUCCCCACCUGAGAGUCCUGCUUUCCCCCAACGCACACCCCCGGCCCCGGUGCUUUGGUACAGAGAUGGUCAUGACGGCUUUGGGGAGAUGCGGGCUCGGGGAGAGCCACGCAGGUCACUGCAGAGCCCCAAACUUGUACAAGCCUGGGGGGGCGGGGCGCUGUUUGGCCACGCCCCCACCUCCCUUCCCUCCCCUCCCCCCAGCCCCCUGUCUUGGCUCCGCAACACCAAGCCCCCAUCUCACAUCCCUCACUUCCAGUGCCCCGGGCAGGCUCACCUUCUCCCACAUCUACCUCCUCACCCUCACCCCUGUCACCCCGGCGGCUUAUCCAAGUUUUUCUCAACACACCUCGUCCUGCAAGAGGAAGUCACGUGUCUGCUGUUGUUAUAUUAUAUUAGCCUCUUUCUUACAAGUCGUUGCUCGGACCGCACCUUUCUCCCUUUUCCUCCCUUCUCAAAAAUGCCCUACCUUUUCCUUCCCUCUGAAAACGCCACAUCUCCAAGUUUAAUUCUCGAUCCUUCGUCCUUACCCUGGCCACUAGUGACCGCAUCUGUUUCGGGGCUACCUCCACACCCUUUCUCCAGCCACUCCAGCGUCUCACGUCCCACUGGCUGCAGGGCAUUUCCACGUGUUCUGCCGUCUCGGGACACAUCUUAAUGUGGCUGAGAGCAAAUCCCACCUGAGCCUAACUUUCAUAAGGGCGCCGGCCUCCCAAACGGUCUCGCCACCAACCUCUCUUCCCCCAGCGCUCACUUCUCUCUUCCAUUGCUGGGCUAGUUUCCCAAGGCGGAGAUCUGCUCUUACUGCUCCUCUGUUCUAACCCUCGCUGUCUUCUUCGCCUUCUUUUUUUCCUCUCUCUUUUUUUUUUUUUUGCUUUUAAGGGCCACACCCGCAGCAUAUGGAAGUUCUGAGUCUAGGGUCAAAUCAGAACUGUAGCCACCAGCCUACACCACAGUCACUGCAACGUGGGAUUCAGGCUGCCUCUGCGACCUACGCCACAGCUCAGGGCAACACCAGAUCCUUCACCCACUGAGCAAGGCCAGGGAUCGAAUCUGCGUCCUCACGGAUCUUAGUUGGGUUCUUAACCUGCUGAGCCACAAUGGGAGCUCCCUCACUGUCGUCUUAAUGCAGUCUUGGCCUUCCUGCCAAGAUUUAAGAAGAUCUAGACCUGACCCAGAUUGUCCACACAGGCUCCAAAAUCCAAAGUGAAUUCAAAUCCUCUCCUCCGUUUACCUGAUGUAUAUGCCUUCGGGAAACGUACACUGUCUGGCCUCUGUUUAUAAAAGAUAGCCACAUUUGGGCCCUUCCGAAGAAGUACUAGAGUGUUAUACAUCCUGAUACUAACAGCAAUUCUGUCCUUACGAAGUUGUCAACUUUUCAUCAUUUCUCAGCCGUCCUGAUUCUAAUUAAGGGAAAGACAACCUGUACUCACGAAAUUCCACCUGCACCCUCAGCCGCAAGUCAGCUAUUUCUCAAGGUCUCUGUGAUAGUCUCGGGUUUGCGAGCCUGCACGUACGAUGAAACGACAAUGUAGUGACAUACACGGUCACCCAAGGGGCUGGCUAGCUGUCUCAUGGAGCAGCGAGCUGGGGGGUGAGGAGAAGUGGGUGGAGGUGAGGAAGGAAGGCUCGAGUGCCCUUUUUUUGGAAGCUCAGAGGCUGAUGGGUAACUGGACACAUGGGGGAAGGGCUAGAGUCUAAACGCUGGCUGCCUCAUAGCAUCUGAAUCCAAGCCAGAGUUUACAUCUCAUCUCUGCCACUGUCUGGAUGUGUAUCGGAGCAAGUCACUUAGCUCCUUGAGUCAUGGUCUCCUCCUCAUCAAAUGGGUGGGUGGUGGAGGGAGGGGUGCCCUUCUUAAGGGCUGCUGGGAUGACUAGUUGUGCCAUGUGUAAAGCACUUAGCUCAGGGCUUGCUCUCAAGAAAUGUGCUAGUGUCAUGAUGACUUUGGACUGAGCUCUAAAUAAUGUAUAAAGCAGCCUAAAGUACUGCACAUUUGCCUAAGGUCAUGCCUAUCAAACACCAAGAAGGGGCUAGGCCUUGUCUUACAGGCAUUGCCCUUUACCUUCAAGGAGCUGGAGCAUCCCUGGGGAGUCACAGCUAAGCAGGUACCACUGGACAGCAUGACGAGGGGUGUAGCAGGUGUAAAAAUGCAGGAAGUCCUCCCUUGAUAUCUCCGGGGACCAAAACAUCUAGAAGCCCACGAAUAAGAAAAGAGUUUAUUUGGGGUCUUCUAAACUGCAUUUUGGAAGACACAGCUUCAGGUAAAGCCAAAAGAGUGUCCAGGGAAGAGAAAGAGUCAGGGGCUUAUAAAGGCAAAAGCCACGAGGCUAUACUCUGACCUAAGAAAAGAAAUAUUUGUCCUUAGGGGACAGGCUCUCACCAGGUGUUUUAGAGUAAGGGUCUGUGAGCAUCUUGAGUUUGUGGCAGUUUUUCUGGAUGCCUGUGCGAGGACGAUGAUGUGAUCAAAAGGUCAAACUCUGUCUGGGCCACGUGUGUGCCAGUCGUGCUUCCUCAGUGGCCUCCCAGCCCCACUUAGAGAGUUCUGUUAGCAAUAGCAGUGCCAUGUUGAUUUUCUUCUCACAGCUCCAGGACCCCUUUGGAGAUACCAGAAUCCGUAGACCCUCAAGUCCCAAAUAGAAAAUAGCAUAGAACAGUCAGCCCUCUGCAUCCGCAGGACCAGGUGCCCUACUCUGGAAACAGGUGCUUUCUCUUCCAACCAGCAUUUUCUGUGCACAUGCCAGGUGCCGACACUGUUCUGAGCGCUGAAGGAUCCAAAAUGAAUAUGAUCCUUGGUUGAAAUAGUUUAUAGUCUAGAAGGAAAUGACAGCCACCAAUCACACUACCCGUGAGCGCAGGAAGGGCGCGGUCACAGGCACCUGAUGAGAGGAGGGGCUUCAGGAGAUGAACCUGAGCUGAGUCCUGAUGCAGGUGAUGCCCUGGCAGAAUUGAGAGCCCCGUGGGGAAGGGCCAUGUAAGCAGCACGGAGGCCUGCGGGGCCCGUGAUGUGACUGGAGGAUGAAGGCAGGGACGGAUCAAGAGCCAUCCAAAAGGACAGGAGGUCAGGACAGAGCAUCAGCUUGCAGGUGCCCUGGAGGUUCUGUCCCCAACUCCAAAGGGCUCUUUGGUUUUAUCCUUCAGGUGGUGAGACACAGGAAGGGGUUUAAGCCUAUCCUCAGUUACAUUCCAAGCCUGGAUCAUCUCACAGAGGCGGUCUGAGAUCUUCAAAUCCUUGUAAAAAGGGAAAAAAACCACCAUCUGGUCUUGAAGAAAACCAAAGGCUGCAAAGAGACGCCAAGCGUGGGCAGACUAACAAUGCCCAGAGCGAACUUGGCCGGGGGCAAUGAGACUCAUAAACACUAAUGUGUUGCUUUAACUUGUCCUUGGCAUCAGGAGACCUCAGGGAAACCGCCCAGCCGGCUCAUUCUCCUUUGUCCCUGCCUCUUCCUCUUCUUUCUCACCCUGGCCUCUUCCUUUGCUCUGCUACCAUUUUUUUAAUAGACCAGCCGAUGGUGGGAAAUGUGCUCUGUUUAGAGCCUGGAAAGUCAGGAAGGAAACCACUGGAUUAAACUGAACUCUGAGUGUCAUGCUCACGGCAACCCGCCCCGCUCCGCCCCGGCCGCUCCGAGUUUAGGGGGGCUCAUGCGGAGCCCGUGUCGGUUUCAGGGCACAGCAGGACGUCCACGUCGCGCCUGCCCACCCUCCCCGAAGCCGGCUCGGGCCCAGCCCCGGCCGCGGCCUGAGUCACAUGCGCUGGAUGGUCCAGACCCGGGAGGCGGAGGAGGAUGUGGUGCCACGCAGCCAAGUGUCCCCGUCUGACCUCUUGCUCUUUUUCUGUCCCCAGGGAUAGGUGGAGCUUUCCUGCCCACAGAACUGAACUUCCGUUUCCCUUCCUUCCCAAGGCUGCCCUCCUGCCCAGCCCCGGGGAGAACGCGACGGAGUGUCUCGGGCCUCAGUCUACAGCAUCUCUUUUUUCUCAAAACCUAGGGCUUUGACGGGCCACCGGGACACUGCAGGUUGAAAGGCUAGCGGCGUCCCCUCCUCUGCUGGCACCUUGUGUAUUUGUGUAUUGGCGCAUCCCGCCUCCCUCCGGGUGAGGCUCAGGCCCUGGCAGGACCCUGUGAGCCUGCCCCGCUGGGAGCAUCUCUGCAACCCAAGCUCACCCUGGCCAGACCUGGGAGCCCCUGGCUGGCUCUUCCAACCGCUUGCAGACCCAGAGGAAACCCCGCCCCUCCGGGCGUGACUCCGCCCCCACAGCGACACCGUCCAGAGGGACCAGGGGACACAACCUGGAGGUGAGGGGAGGUCAUGGCUGCGGAGCUCCCUGGAAGCACAGAGGGAAAGGAGACCCAAGCGCCUGCUCUGGGUCGUCCCCGGGCUCCGCUGUUCCGCAGGUCCUGCCAGGCUGUCCCUGUCACCAAGAACCCCGCGGUGUUUUUCCCGAAGCCGUGACUCUCUGAACAAGUGACAUGCUUUCCUUUCCCUUCCUUUUCAUAGCACCUUCCAGAAGCACUAGCAGGUAAGCGCUGCCCACGACAGUUUGACCAACAGUGUCCCGCUGGCCUCAGAGUAACACUGACCCAUUCAUUUGGUUGGUUAUUCCCCGCUGGCCUGGGCAGGUUUAUAAUCACCUCUCUGUCUAAAGCCCCCAAAGAGAACCAUUCCUCAAUCCUACCUCGGAGGAGAGCACCUUCAGAUCUGCAGAUCCCCGCGAAACGUUUCAUCAGAAGGCGAGCCAUCGCCGCACGACCACCGAGAGGAAAGAAGUUCCCACUGGGACUCGGCAGGUUAGGAAUGCAGGGUAGUCUCUGCGAGGACACAGGUUCGAUCCCUGGCCUCGCCCAGUGGGUUAAGGAUGGGGCAUAGGUCUCACCCUCAUUGCUGUGGCUGUGGUGUAGGCCGGCAGCUGUGGCUCCGAUUGGACCCCUAGCCUGGGAACCUCCACAUGCUGAAGAAAGAAAGAAAAGAAAGAAAGGAAGGAAGGAAGGAAGGGGAGGAAAGGAAGGAAGGAAAGAAAGAAAAAAAUUCUAGUAGCCACCCGUGGCUAGUGGCUACUGUACUUUUUACUCCACUUUAUGUUGGGAGGUUUGAUUGACGUAUAAAAUGCUGUUUAUAAUUGAGGUAACAACUUGGUACCUUUGGAGAUAAGUAUACAGCUGUGAAGUCAUCACCAAUCUGUGCUACAAACGUAUCCUUCACCGCCAAGCUUCCUCCUGUCCUCUGCUUUUCUUUUUGUGUGUGAUGAAAAUGCUUAAGAUGAGAGUUAGUGAGUAUUGAACAACCCAGCUCCAGAAGGAAUCUGCUAGGAGGUCGUAUAUGUUUUUUCCUAGUAGGUUUCAUUUUCACUCCGAAGCUGCAAAGGAGUCACUGCAAAAUUUCAAAACAGGGUAAUUACAGGAGUAGACUUAGGAGAAACAUUACUCAUAAAUUUUGAAGGAAAGUAAUUUGGCCAGUUUUGAACAUGCAGUCACGUUCCAUGGUCUUCUUAGAGAAGGUGACCAAAAGAAGCCUGUAAAACAAACAUUGUGCGGAAACUACCGAACAAUUAGCUCACUUACAAACAAAGAAAUAAAAUAGCCAUCCCAGCAGGGAAGUAAGUAGAUGGAGGCAUUAAUGAACAGUUCCUUGGGGCUUGCAUACAAAUGGCCAAUUAAAUGAGUAAAACCGUGUUCCACCCCCCUAGUAUUCAGACAAGUUUCCAUGGAAAUGAGAUUCCCCCUUUCCAACAACUAAAUUGGUGAAAUUUUAUAUUAUAUUUAUAUUAUUAUUAUAUUUAUAUUAUUGAGGAUGUAAAUAAACAGUAGGUCUCGCAAUCAUCUUCAGGAUUAUAAAUUGGUACAUUCUUUUUAGAGGCCCAUUUGGCAGUAUUUGAGCAAAAGACUUGAAAAUGUGACAAGAAGAUGUUUAAGCCCUGUCAGCCAGCUAGUCCAUUUCCGGGAAUUUGCCAUAAGGAAGUAAUUGGGGGUUCUUGCAAAGAUGUAUGUAUAAGACUGUCUAUGUCUGUAUUAUACACAGCAGUGAAAAAAAUGACAACAUCCUACCUGUGAUUCCCAACAGAUUUAUUAACUAAAUCAUGCAUGAUCCAGCCAUACAUCUGAACACUACAUAGCCAUGAAAUGCCACCUUGGGUGUGAAUACUUACCUGAAGGGGGAAAUGGGUGUGAUAUAUUUUUAGUGUCGAAAAAUAAAACAGGAGAUUUCACAACGUAAGAUUUAAGUUGAAUAUAAAAAAAAAA